UUAUUUAAUCAGUUUACUAUCAAUAAACCAUGUGUUAGGUUCUCGUUGCGGGAGAUCUUGGAACGUGCCCGUCGUGUGAAUGCGCAUACAAAUAGGGUCACUAUUCGCCUACUACUAAUAAGGGCGGAGAGUAUAUUCUAGAUUAUAUCAGUCGGGUAGGCUGGACUGGGGUUCUGGGAAAAUCUCUACGAAUUCUUCUUUGCAAGAGACAUCCCUGGGUUUAGUGAUGUCUCCGGCAGCCUUGCUGGGAUCUCCAGAUCGAAUAAUUGGUUUACAAGACGCUCUUAGGGGGUCUUGUCUUCUCAGAUUCUAGCUUUUUACUCUACUUCGAUGGCAGUGGAAAGGGUAUUCGCCAACGAUACCCUAUUUCUCCUUCUGCUCUUCUGUAUUGUAUUGCGAUGGAAGGCUUCUCCAUUCUUAUUCAAGAGAGGCAAUUCAAAUUGUUUUAGAAAGCUCCCCUGGGAUCGAAAUCCGAUCUCUCACUUCCGACGAUCUAAUUUUCUUUGCUGAAGCUAGUCUACAUUCAGCCCUUGGAAUUUCA
rnacentral:lncRNA from 1 species